CAAACGAAACAGAAACCAGGGGAAGGAAAGAAAGAAAAAGAGAAAAGAAAGAAAAAAAGGGAAAAUCAAAGAUGUGAAGCUUGGAAGUUUAAUAGGUAAGUCAAUUGAGCCCUUUUUACUUAAUUUUGAUAUUUUAGAAGCUUUGGAUAAGAUUUUGAUGAAAUUAAGUUGAUAUUUUGAAAAGAUAUUAGAUUUUUAGAUACUGUUCAUGUUGAGUAAAAUGAUGAAAUAAGGGUUAAAUUGAUAGAAAUUCAAGUUAGAAAUGAAAUAAGGAUUGAAUUAUAAAGUAAUUCAUAAGUUUUAUGUUGAAGGGCUAAUUUGAGGAAAUUUUGAAACUAGUUAAAUAAGCUGAAAAUUUUGGAGUUAAAUUUGAGUUGGGAUGGAACUUGAAUAGAAAUAGAGUAUGAAUUAAGUUAGUAAAAUUAAUGGAAAUUGAUUUUAGGACAUAAUUGUGAAAAUGUUGGAAUUAAAGUCUAGUGCUGAAAUUAUGAUUUCCAAAAGUUGUAAAGUAGCUUAAAGUGAUAGAAUAAAGUGCUAAUUGAGAAAAAUCAGCUCAAUUGAGAGGCUAAUUGAGUAGGGACGAAAUUGUUAUUUAUUAAAGCUUAAGGGAAAAAUGGUAAUAAACAACUUGCACUAAAACAAUAUUGGACAGAAGCAGUAGACUAACUUUGAAAAAUCACCAUAAAUUGUAGAAAUCGAAUUAGAGAUGAAAAAAAUAUGAAAUUAAAGCUUAUUGAGUCUAGUUUCUCAUAGAAGAAACGGUGUAAGCAAUAGAUUUGUAAAUCAUGAGAUAUAAUAAAUUUUGUGAGACAACAUCAGAAUGAUUUCGGGUUCCCCUGUUCUAACUUUGAAAAAUCAUAAAAAAUUGGAUAAUCAUAAUUAUGGGCUUAAAUUUAUAUGUUUAGAAUCUUGAAUAAGUCUAGUUUCAAUAGAAAUAAACAGGAACAUCAUUCAAAUUCUGUACGAGAAGAUAAUUAAUUUUUAGUGAAGAAGGGUCACAACUGUCAGACAGCAGAAUAUGGGUAACUUUAAAGAAUAAAAUGUACUUAUUGACUAAACCAAAAAUUCUGAAAAUUUUAUGGUAAGAAUAUAUAUGAGUCUAGUUUCAGGAAAAGUUAUCGGAUCUUAAUUUAGAGCUCUAUAUCUCUAGAUAUAAAUAAUUUAGUAACUAUGACACAGAUGGACAGAUUGAAUAUUCAUAAAAGUAAAUAAUAAAAAUUAUAGAUGAUGUUACUUACAAGUGUGUUAUAUACAUUAAGGAUGCGGAAUGGAGAGGAGGAGGAGGAAAAAUAUAUAUGAAUAUCCAGCUUGCAUGGCUAAUUUGCAUGUUUUAGGCUUAAGGACUAAAUUGAAUAAAAGUAAAACUUCAGGGGCAAUUUUGUAAAAAUGUCAAAAUGAUCAAAUUGAAGGGAAUGAAUUUUUUUAUUAUCUAAAUUAAUAAAUUGAAUGAAAUUUUCAAUUUAAUAUCGGGUGAAAAUUGAGAAAAUGGUAAAUUACCAAAAUGUCCCUAAAUCUUGAUAUUUCUACAAUUUCGCUAGGUAAGUUUAUGUAACUUGAAUUAUAUUCUUUAAUGCUUGAAAUAUAUGUUAUUGAUGUGAAUAUGAUUUGAAUGUUCAUUGUAUGAAAAUUGAUGAAACAUUGAUAUAUUUGAUAAAAUGGGAAGAAAUCCCGGUUGAAUGAAAGGAAAUUUCGAUAGAUCUCUGAAAAGGAAUUGGCGGUAAAAAGGAUCUAGCCCGGACGGGUGAUCCUAUCCUGAUAUAGCCCUCCCGAAGAAUAUGUGAAAAAUGGAUUUAGCCGGGACAGGUAAUCCGAAUUAGGGUCUGAAUUUAGCCUGGACUAGUAAUUCAGAUCCAAGCUCAUUAGAGUAAUUGUCGUUGCAAGGGAUUUAGCCUGGACUGGUAAUCCCGACAAUACUCUAUGAGUUUAUAUUACAGGGGAUUUAGCCUGGACUGGUAAUCCCACUGUAAGGAUGAGGUUCGCGAGAGUGUGCUCUCUGAUAUGAAAUGUGUAAGACCAUGGUUGAAAGAUACUAUGGCAACCUGAUAUGAAAUGUGUAAGACCAUGGUUGAAAGAUACCAUGGCAGCCUGAUAUGAAAUGUGUAAAACCAUGGUUGAAAGAUAACAUGGCAGCAUGACAUGAAAUGAAUAAGACCAUGGUUGAAAGAUACCAUGGCAACAUGACAGAAAAUGAGUAAGACCAUAAUUGAAAGACACUAUGGCAUCAUGUCAAAGAUAAAUAAGACCGUGGAAGAGAGACGCCAAGAUAUCUGUUGAACAACUAAUAUUCAGGUAAUAUGUACCAGAUGACAAAUAGUUAUAUGAAUUGGUUGUACAAAAUGGUUAUGUGAAAUGUUUACAGGAAUUGGUCAUAUGGAAAUAUAUGUACAAAAUAGUUGUAUGAAAUAAUUAAGAAGAUAGAUAAAUGAAAUAAGUAUAGAUACAUGGAAUUUAAUUUAUGUUAAGUUUAAUACGAACUAUUACCAAAGUAAAUAUACAUAAGAUAUAAGGAAAUGAUGAUGCAUGAAAUAUUGAUAUAACGAAAUGAAUGAUAUAUGCUUAUGAAGAAAUAGUAAGAGAAUAAUAUAUUUUGUGACAUGAACAUAUAUAAUUAUCUUUGAUAUGUUGAUAUAAGGAAAUUAUGUAAGUUGAGACUAUUAUUGAACUUAAGUGUGAUAUGUUGAGAAAAUAGGUAUAUCAUUGUUGAAUUUAUAUGAAGUAUGUGCAAGUAUACUAACAAUGUUGUUGUAUGAUGCUUAGACAAGUGCCAAGCUAUUGAUUGAAUGGUAACAUGUUUAAUUAUAAGGAGCAUUGAAAUGGUAAGUACUUAGAUGAAAAUAUAAUUUAAGAUUUUGCAAAAAAAAUUUUAACCCCAUUCAAUUCCGGUUGGUUUUUAAUGUAUGUUUGGGGCUUCGAGGGCCCAAUAGAGAACGUUAUGGUUAUUUUCAAAAUAUGAAUAAUAAAUGACUCAAAAUUAUCUGAAAAUGUUUAGUAAACUCCGGUAAUGCCUCGUACCCUAUUCCGGCAAUGGAUACGGGUUGAGAGUGUUACACCUACUAUAGGGUCGCUAAGAGAUACUUGACCCCAGAUUACGUGAUCUGACUAUGUGAUAUAUGUGCUCUUAGCAUGUAAAUCGAUUUGUAUGUUUGAUCUAUUAAUUGCAUAAUUGCAUGUCAUCUAUUGUAUGUUGCAUUGUAUCGGGGUUAGGUUGAGGAUAUUUUGGAGGAAGUGUCUGAAAGGCUUUAAGCCUAUUAUUUGGCAGCUCAGCUGCAUUAUUCUGAUCAUGUGCCGCAAUUCGGUACAGUAUGGUGUGUAGGGAUGGGUGGGUUGAUUAUAUCCCUACAUGGUGUGUAGAGCUGGAUGGAGAUGGUGUAUAGAGGCUGUGGGUAGGAUUCUGAUAUUCUAUCUACAUACUGUAUCUGACAUGGGCUAAGGCCCUAAGUGGUAUCUGAUUCUGUAUCUGAUGGGCUAAAGCCCUAACUGAUUCUGUAAAGGGCUCCGGCCCCAGAUUAUUUAUUCAUGACACCUGUUGUGUAUACUUUCUGUGGGGAUUACAUAUUGAGUUUGCAAAAACUCACCCUUUUUUGUUUUAUCUGUGUAUGUAAUCCCUAAACUUAACCGGUCGGUGUAGCGAAGAAUUCGACGAUGGCCACACAUAUUUAGAAUGUUUUAAACUUCGUUUUGGUAUUUAUUUCCUAAUUAUUUACUGGUUGUUUUGAUGUAAUAUGGGGACUUUAUGAACUGUUGGACUUUAUUUAUCUUUUUAAAUUGUUUAUGGGAUUUUAGUCUAAACCCGGUUUUAUUCAAAAUGACGGUAGCCUUAAUUACGAAUGGUUUUUCAAAGAUAAAUUUUAUCAAAAGCUUCAGCGUAAAAGAAAUGUUUUAAAGUAAAUCAAUUAGUUUACGUUUUCCCGAACUAAGUAAAAGACGAUAAUUGGAACGGUUUAAAGGUUAAUGUAUUUUUAAAAACACUUUCAUGUGACAUCGCCAGAUUCGGUCAUAACAUCCAGGCCGAAUUUAAGGUGUUACAUUUAGUGGUAUCAGAGCCAAGUUGCAAAACUCGGCUGUGGAUUUGGAUUAUAAAGAUUGGUUUUAAAGAAAUUAUUUGUAAAUAAUUUGAAAUAUUUUUUAAAAAUAAGUAUGUGGUACACCGAGUCUCCAGCGCAGAUCUUGUAAGUUCUCUGAAACUCUGUUUAAAAUUGCUUAAAAAUAUGAUUAGAAUAUACUGAAACUACUUUAGGUAGUAUAUUACAUUGAAAACACUCUAAGUAGUGUAGACUGAAAAACUGUAGUGAAACUACAACCCGCGAUAACCGACUCUGAAUAUUUUGAUACUGUACUGCAUAAAAUAUCUGUUAAUAAAUAUUGGAACUAUAGCUAAUGUAUAAAACUAUUAACACAGAUAAAUUUUAAAAUUUACGAUGAGCACACGUGAUACUCAUAGACUGGUUACUAGAGGCUGUGGUAGGGGCCGUGAGGGGCUCGAGCUGAGUCCUUGGCAUCUGAUACUAUUUCGAAUUUGGAUACUAGCGAAACGUCAAUAUCACCUGUGACAGAGAUUGGGUCUGGGUCUCAUGAUUAUCCGACUAGGGAUGACGUACUGUCCCAAGCCAUGCUACAGAUUUUGGAGUGGGUCGUUAGGCCCAAUACUAGUUCUAGAGGUCGAGGGUCGAUUACGGAAUGACUUCAGUCCAAUAAGGCUGAGUUAUUCAGAGCUGUCGCUGGAGUCACCCCUAACGUGGCCAAGUAUUGGAUGGAGGCCACGAAGAGAAUUAUGGAUGACUUGGAUUUUACUGUUGAGCAAAAGCUUAAGGGGGUUGUUUCUCUGUUACGGGAUGAGGCAUACCAGUAGUGGCUUACGGUUAAGGAGGGCACACAGCCCGACCGAUUGACCUGGGAUUAUUUUAAGACUACGUUCCAGGGUAAGUAUUUGAGAGUCAGCUAUAUUGAUACUAGGAGGCAUGAGUUCCUUAACCUCACCCAGGGAGAUCGUUCAGUAGCCAAGUAUGAGACCGAGUUUUUAAGGUUGAGCCGUUAUGCGCGAGGCAUGAUAGUGACCGAGUAUGAGCACUAUGUCCGAUUUGAGGAUGGUCUCAGAGACAGUUUGCGAGUCUUGAUAGCUCCGCAGAGGGAGCGUGAUUUCUCUGUUCUAAUUGAGAAUAAGAAGAUCGUCGAAGAGGUUGAGCGCUCUAAGUGCCAACACCGAGAGAAAUGAAAGAGUAAGGGGGAAUUGGAGCCCUCAAUUGCUAUGAUGAGGCAUAAGAAAAAGGCCAGAUCUGAUAGGCCAAUGAGCAUGGGGCCUCCUACUGCAUCUUCUGGGGUGGCGCUCUAUGGACACUGUGGUAGACGCUAUCCGGGUGAGUGUUGGAGGACUACUAGGGCAUGUUUGAGGUGUGGGUCGACUGAGUGCAGUGUUCGGGAUUGUCUAUUGAGGUCCGAUUAGAUGCAGGCUACGGGUACUAGUAUUGCGCAGCCACCAAGAGUAGUCCAGCAGCCACCUAGGGGCCGAGGUUAGAGAGUACCGGGUAGAAGUGUUGGACCAACUAAGGCGAGGUAGCUUGAAACUUUGGGGAUUCCGGUUGUAAGUACUGAUAGUGAAGUGACUGUUGUGAGUCCUUGGGGGAAGCCUAUCUGAGUCAACAAAUUGUAUAGAGACUUUCUGUUAGAGGUCCAAUGGACAGUGUUUCUGGCAGAUUUGAUGAAGCUUCCGUUUGAGGAGUUCGAUUUGAUAUUGGCGAUGGAUUUGUUGGUAAAGUACCGAGCAAGUUUGGAUUGUACGAUAAAAAGGGUUAUGUUGAGAACCGAUGAGGGCAAUGAGGUAAUCGUGAUUGGGGAAUGUCGUGAUUACCUGACUAAUGUGAUUUCUGUGUUGGUGGCGAAAAAGUUGGUCCGAAAAGGAUGUGAGGUUUAUCUGGAUUAUGUGAGUGUUUUGGACUCUGGGGACUCUUCUGUUAAGGAUAUCAAAACUGUAAGAGAUGUUCUGGAUGUCUUUCUUGAGGAGUUACCGAGGUUGCCUCCAAGCCGUAAAGUAAAGUUUGGGAUUGAGUUGAUUCCUGGUAUAGCUCUAGUACCUAUCGCCCUUUAUCGAAUGACACCAAAAGAGCUGACAGAACUUAAGGCUCAGAUUUAGGAGCUAUUAGACCGUGGGUUCAUUCGUUCCAGUGUGUUUCCGUGGAGAGCAUCUGUUCUAUUUGUAAAGAAGAAAGAAGGGACAAUGCGGAUGUGUAUCGACUAUCGGCAGCUGAAUAAGCUAAAAAUUACGAAUAAAUACCCUCUCUCGAGGAUUGAUGAUUUAUUCGGCCAGCUUAGAGGGGCUUCUGUGUUUUCCAAGAUUGACUUGCGUUCUUGGUAUCAUCAGCUGAGGGUAAAAGAGGCUGAUGUGCAUAAAAUGGCAUUUAGAACUCAAUAUGGACAUUACGAGUUCCUAGUUAUGCCCUUUAGUUUGACUAAUACACCAGCGGCAUUCAUGGAUUUGAUGAAUUGAGUAUUUUAGCCCUACUUGGAUCAGUUUGUGGUAGUGUUCAUCGACGACAUCUUGGUAUAUUCUAAGACAGAAGAUGAACACGAUGAGCAUCUCAGAGUGGUUCUACAGAUUCUUCAUGAGAAACAGUUAUAUGCGAAGUUCAGCAAGUGUGAGUUCUGGCUUCGGAAAGUGACAUUUCUGGAACAUGUAGUUUCUGCUGAGGAGAUAAGAGUUUAUCCUCGUAAAAUUAAGGCCUUGUUGGGUUGGAAACAGCCGAAGAAUGUGUCUGAGAUCUGCAGUUUUCCGGGGCUAGUAAGGUAUUAUCGACGUUUCAUAAAAGGGUUAUCUUUGAUCGCAGCUCCGAUGACAAAGCUGCUGCAUAAGGGAGUUCCUUUCGUUUGGACUAAUGCACAGCAAGAGAGCUUUGAUAAGCUUAAGAUAGUUUUAACUCCGGCUCCUGUUCUGAUAUAGUCUGAGCCCGGUAAAAACUUUUUUGGUAUACAAUGAUGCAUCGCAUGUGGGUUUGGGUUGUGUUCUGAUGCAAGAUGGAAAGGUAGUCGCUUAUGCGUCUCGACAGCUCAAGACUCAUGAGGUUAAUUACUUGAUGCACGAUUUGGAAUUGGCGGCAGUUGUCUUUGCUCUAAAGAUCUAGAGGCAUUACCUAUACCAUGAGAAGUGUACCAUCUACAAUAUCACAAAAGCCUCAAGUAUCUCCUCACUCAGAAAGAGUUGAACCUUAGGUAGUGUAGAUAGGUUGAACUGCUAAAGGAUUACGAUUGCACUAUCGAGUACCAUCCUAGUAAAGCCAAUGUGGUAGCCGAUGUAUUAAGCCACAAGGCUAUGACCGAUCUGAGAGCAAUGUUUGCUUGACUGAGUCUUUUCGAUGAUGAAAGUCUAUUAGCAGAACUUUAAGUGAAACCGACAUGGAUUGAUCAGAUCAGAAAUAAACAGAUGGGGGAUAGGUCUCUUGAGUUGCGGUUCCGUCAAGUUGAAAGUGGUAUUACUUCUGAUUUUGGGAUUAAUAAUGAUGGGGUAUUAUGUUUCCACAAUCAAAUUUGUACCGAAUGAUGAGGACUUGAGACAGUCGAUUUUGAGGGAGGCGCAUAGUAGCCCCUAUACUAUGCAUCCCUGCAGAAAUAAAAUGUACCGAGAUCUGUAAGAUGUAUAUUGGUGGCCAGGGUUGAAGUGAGAAGUUAUCGACUUUAUGGCUCGUUGUUUAACUUGUCAGCAGGUUAAGGCUGAGUAUCAGUUACCUUCGGGUUUGCUAUAGCCGGUUAAAAUACCGAUGUGGAAAUGAGAGCGAGUAACGAUGGACUUCGUUAGUGGGUUGCCUCUAACACCCACUAAGAAGGAUUCUGUCUGGGUCAUCGUGGAUCAAUUGACCAAGUCCGCGCACUUCAUCCCGGUCAGGACAGACUUUUCUCUACAAAAGUGAGGUUGCACGGGGUACCUGUCUCGACCAUCUCUACUAGGGAUCCUCGUUUAACGUCUCGGUUUUGGAAGAAACUUCAUGAGGUUUUGGGUUCAAUAUUAGACUUCAGUACUGUUUUCCAUCCUUAGAUAAAUGGUCAGUUGGAGAGGGUGAUUCAGAUAUUGGAGGACAUGUUGAUGGGCUAUAUUAUUGACUUCUGAGGUAGUUGGGAGGAGUACUUGCCAUUAGCAGAGUUCGCUUACAAUAACAACUACCAGUCUAGUAUGCAGAUGGCACCUUACGAGGUACUGUAUGGUUAUAAGUGCAGUACUCCCUUGUGUUAGACUGAGUUGGGUGAGCGACGCAUUCUGGGUCCAGAGAUGGUUUCUGAGACUGAGGAUAAAGUCCUUUUGAUUCGAGAUCGACUAAAAGCGGCUUUUGAUAGGCAGAAAUCUUAUGCGAAUCUGAAAUGUCGAGAGAUAGAGUAUUCUGUGAGGGACUUAAUUUUUCUCAAAGUUUCGCCAUGGAAAAAAGUUUUGAGCUUCGGUCGCAAGGGUAAGCUAAGCCCUAGGUUUAUUGGGCUAUACCGUAUUCUGAAACGAGUGGGACCAGUCGCUUAUUAGUUGGAGCUACCUCCGGAGUUAAACUGCAUCUAUGAUGUGCUUCACGUCUUGAUGUUGAGGUGCUACCACUCUGAUCCUAUGCAUAUUGUUCCCAUGGAGGAGAUUGAGGUUCGACCUAAUCUGACCUUCGAGGAGGAGCCGGUUUAAAUUCUGGAUCACGACGUUAAAGUUCUGAGGAGGAAAUUUAUUCCUUUAGUAAAGGUGUUGUGGCAGAAUCAUAGCACUGAAGAGGCUAUGUGAGAGUCUGAGGAUGCAAUGCGCCAGCAGUAUCCUCAUCUGUUCUGAUCAAGUAAUUUUUGAGGCUGAAAUUUUCAUUUAGAGGGUAGAACCCCAAGUUUUAAUUUAUGUUUUGAUUAAAUAUGAGACACAACUUUAAAUCUGUUUCAGUGUUUAGGUCUCCUAGGAGUGUCUAAGAAGUCUUGAGUUCAAGCCUUAGCUUGGGCAAAUUUUGUAUAGUUUUUUUAUGACUAAAGCCCUGUCCCUAGUCAAUAGGCUCAUAUUUAUUGGUUGCAAAAACAUAUCAGAAUGGGCCUGCUGGUCUAUUAGUUAAGAUGUGUGAAGGGGUGAUGAAGGUAUUGUGUUUGAAUCUUAGUGGAAUCGAUAAGUGUAAUAUCUUUUUGCUUCUGGAUGUACUAGGCAUGUGGAAGUGUUUGAGGGGAGGUGAAAUUAUGAUAGUGGGCAGUUGUUGAGAGGAUAUUGUGGGGGUAGUGGAUUGGGGGUUAAACUCAUCUUCCCCCAACUCUGCUGAAUUUUUCCCCUUGAUUUUGCCCUCCCUUUUGCCAAACUUUGCCAUUCUCUUUCUUUUCUAUUUUCAAUUUUUUUUCAACUCGUAAUGGUUGCACAGCGUAGUUUACGUGUUCGGUAAGUUUUGGCUUUCGUUUAGCCUUAAAUUGUUUCUUUCUGUGAAUAUUGAUUAAGAGGGGUUUCGGUUGGUUUUUAGACGGUGGUCGAAAGGCUGGAGAUUAUCCAUUACCAUUUUAAGGGUGCGAAGUUUUUUUUCUCGAUCUAAGGUGAGGUUUUGAUAGAGUAUCAAUGGUCAGUAUUGUUAUGUUUUUGGUUGAAAGACGAUUUAAGUGACUGAAAUUAGGCUUUGGAUUGUCGAUUUUAGGUUCUGAAGUGCUCGAGAGUAUUUAGGAAUCAAUAUCGACACAGUUGUGUACCCGAAAACACAGGAAAUGAGAAUCAACGAAAGCCGAAAAAUGAAAUUAUCGGUGCUACACGGGCGUGUGGUCGCCCGUGUGGUAAGCCAUGUAGCAGCACACGGGCAUGUGAUCGACGAACUAGGCCAUACGCGUGUGACACGGACGUAUGACACAGCCGUGUGAUGGUCAAUGAGGUCGUGUGCGAGACACAAUGUAACACCCAAACCCGGCCCAGACGUUAUGGCUGGAUCUAGCGUGUCACAUUGAAGUGUUUUAGCGAAAACCUUGUUUUCUUUGAAAACCCUUCCUUGAAAAAAAUAUGAAACCUUAAUAAACUUAUUAAACUCUCUUUUCACUCACAAAAACCUGUUUACAACAUAUGAUUUUAUGAAAACCUGUCAUUUUGAAAUUUAGUUGCGGAAACGUAGUAUAUAAAAAAACUAAGGUUUAGAAAAUCCAUGUUCAACUUCUCGUAAUUACAGCGCACAAAAUAAUAAUCCAAAUAAUAACAAAAAGGAAGCCUUAUUACAUUUCAGUUCGAAAAGUACUCAAUAAAAUAAAGAACUUAUAUGCUUUUAAAAGAGAAACAAGUCCAAGUUGUCUUGCUAGCUGGUCACCCAGAGUCCCUCCAAACAUCGAACCUUCUACUGAGCAUCACCUGAAAAUAAAAUAAAAUAGGGGGUGAGUUUUCGCAAACUCAGUGUGUACAACCCUCGACGUUUGCGAACCUUCCCCCGAUACACAGCAUGUGGGGAUAUAAAUAUCGACCCACCCAGCCGAUACACAUCCAUGGUAGCCCGGUUGUGGAACUACCUUCAUUUAUACAUUGGACUUAAAAGCCGUCGGUCGAUCCACGAUUGUCAAGCAACCAUGCGAUCCUCAUAUACUUCCUUCGUUCCAUAUUUCCCAACCCAUAUGCAACCUAAGCAGGAUAUCAUAUGUAUGCAGCAAAUAUGCAUGUCAUAUCCAUAAAACCUACACUCAACACAUAGGGGUAUUUUGGUCAUCUUUGCCUUUAGGGGCAUUUCGGUAAUUUUCCCAUUAUUAGAUCCAAUCCUAGACAUGCAUAUACCCAUUACCACACCUUAACCUUAUAACUUGUCCAUGGUCGUAAUUAAUUACUUAAGUUUUAUGUCAAUUAAACAGCUAUCAGAUACUAGGCCCAAAACCCCUUACAGAGCCCAAACAAGUCUACAUACAUGCAUAUGGCCCACUAGGCCCAAUCUCAUUCAUAUGGCCCUUUAGGCCUAAAUCACAUUUGUGUGGUCCAUUAGGCCCAAAUCACAUUCAUACGGCCUAUUAGGCCCAAAUCACAUUCAUAUACAUGCUUUCAUAUAAUUUCCAUCACUUAACAUCAAGUCGCCAAUUUCGCCUAUCAUGGGCCCAAUGACCCAUUGGGCCCACUUAGUCCAACCUGGCCCAGUUGGCUGAAAAACGACCCAAGUUCAUAGAAUUUCCAAUGGGACCUCAGAUAACCUAUUGGUUUCCCCCUUACGAGUAUUCGUGCACUCGCAAGAUUACCGUAGCCAAACUUUCGGCUUUUCGACAUUUCAGCUUUUCGACAUUUCGGGAUUUGCCGAUCUACUUGUGUGUGUGCAAAGUAUGUACACACCUGGUAAGCAAGAGUGAUGCGAUUCCCUUAGUCACCAACCUACAAACGAUAUCACCUUUCAAUUAAUCGUAUGCUUAAUACAUAUUUUACCCAAAAAUCGAAACCUCAUCUUAAUCUUACCUUGAACACCAAUCCCUAAUAGCUUUUCCUUGAUCACGUACUCCCUAGAUCUGCAUUAAUCUUACUCGUUAAAACCAAAUACUAGGGGACUAGCAUCCAACAUAAUUCACCCCCUUAUCUCACUUAAGACCAUUCGGCCAACCUUAGCCAAUAAGAGAGAAAUACUUACCAAAACAGCAAAACACCUAAGGAGCAAUUCGACAGAGAGCUAAAAUCCGAGAUCUGAUACUAAUUCCCUACCAAAGUUGAUUAAAAAGAGUGAGGGAGGGGAGUAAUCGGUAUUAACAAUACUAGUCGAAAAAAAGAUAAGGUACUUACCCCAAAAGAGUAAUCAACCCAAAGGAGAUUCGGCUUUUCGACUUUCAAACUAAUAUGGUGAAUAAGGUUUAUUUGGCACAAAUUAAAGAAAAAUGGUAGAAGAAGGAAUCGGCUAACCCAAAGGGUAAAUCAAAAGAGAACUGAGGAGAGAAAGAAUGGCAAAAGAAUCAGUUAGCAAAGACGAAAAAGCCAAUCGGCACUAAAAAAAUAAAGAAUUUGGCAUUAGCCUAAGAUCCCAAACUCAACACAUAUUUAUAGCCUCUAGCCAAAUUUCCUACCCUCAAUUCCCAAUUCAGCUCCAUCACUUCCCCCUUCUCAUCUCCUCGUUUUUCUCCCUGAUAACUCCCAAAUCUAUUUCCUAAAUUUUCUCUUUUGAACACUCCCCUUAGAGUCCAUCUUCACGCCACUUCCAACCUUCUAGAAGGCUAAAAUUAAACUCCUAAAAAAAUACUAAGCUAGGAUUCAAACUUCGAAUCUCCUUGCUAGCCACUAACGCCACCUCCCUACACCCUAAGUGGCGUCACUUAGCCACUCCUCCACAAGGCUUUUUGAUGUCAUUUUCCCCUAUUUUUAUUUAAAAGCCCAACUACUCCCAACCCUGAUUCUUUUAAUAAUUAAAUUAAAAUUCCUCCACCACAAAACUUGAACCUAGAAUUUCUCCAACAAACCUAGACACUUCAAAUUCCUUAAACCCUUAGAGUCAACAUGUCUUUUGUCAUUUUCUUGCUCACUUAAAAAAAAUUUAUGAAACUCAAAGCCCAAAGCCCAAAGCCCAAUUCAUCUAGGCCCAAAAUUCGGGGCGUUACACACAGGCUCAACCAAAUUAGGCCGUGUGGGCCACAUGGGAGUAUGGGCCCACAUGGGUGUGUGGGAAAAUAAAAUAGGCUAAAUAAAAAUUUUAACCUAUUUUUAACAAUUGUAUAGAGUUGGUGGUUACAUGUGUAAAAAUUAUAUACAUAUAUAUAAAAUAAUAAAUUAUACUACUUAAUACUUAAUUAUAUUAUAUUAUAUUAUAUUAUAUUAUAUUAUAUUAUAUUAUAUUAUAUUAUAUUAUAUUAUAUUAUAUUAUAUUAUAUUAACAAAACAAAUAAAAGAAAAAGAAUAGAAAAAGAAACAAAGUUCAAACAAAAUAGAGAAGAAAAAGAAUGAAAAGAAAAAGAGAAAGAAAAGGAGAAAAGUUAGGGAUUUCAAAGUUCAAAGCUUAAUUGGUAAGUUAAUUUAGUCCAUUUUCUUGUAAUUUUCAUGUUUUUAGAAUCUCGAUAUUAAAUACUACCCGACCUAUGUCAAACUUUUAGAAAUUAUUGAGUUUUUAAAUGUUGUCUAUGUUGAAUAAUUAGAGUAUUAGGGACUAAAUUGAUAGAUUUUUAAUUUGAAAAUGGAAAAGAAUUAAAUUGUAGAAUAUAUUAUAAAAUUUAAGUAUUAGGGACUAAAUUAUAAAAUUUUGAAAUUUAGGGGUUUAAGUGGAAUUAGAGAGUUGAAUCAAGUUUAAAGUGGGAACUGAAUGAAAAUAUAGAAUUAAUUGUAAAGAAAUAAAGUUAGUCUUGGUUUAGGGACUAAAUUGAAAUUUAGGCAAAUGUUAAAUAAAAAUUGGAAUAUUUAAUGUGAAAUUAAAUUGUGUUGUAUUGAUGAAAUUUAAAUUGUUUUUAUUUCCUUAGCUAAUGUUGUGCUGGAAACUUCGACUAAGAAGGGAAAAGAUAAAGUCAACGAGGAGUAACUCGAAAAUUCUAGUUUGUAUUUCUAUAAUCCGAAUCUAAUAAUUAAUUGUUGUAUUUUGAUUUUAUAAUUAUGGAAAGUGAUUGAGGUGAGUAACUAUCAUUUUGAUAUUGAAUUGAAUUUAUAUGAAUUUGUGAUUAAUCUGAAAUGUGGAUAUGAGAUAUUGAUUGUUUUUGAGUUGUGGAAUUAAACCUUAUUAACUGUAUCGAUUGAGUCGAAUAUAGAUAGCAUGCCAUAGGACUGGAAGAGUUCAGGGACUUUUCGACCUCGAGUUGAUGAGACACUGGUGUCAAUUAUCUACUUCGGAUUAAUUCGAUGAGGCACUGGGUGCCAACUUACUUCGGUUUAGCUUAUAAGACAUUGGGUGUCAAUUUAUUACUUCGAAUUAUCUGAUGAGGUACUGGGUACCAAACUAGUGUGUUUUGGUUGGAUCCGUGUAUGCGUCUAAGUCCAAGUUGUGUUAAUAGGGGUAAUUAAAUGAAAUGAUAAUAUGAUUGGAAUCGACAAGCAUUGAAUGUGAAAUGCAAGUGGGACAUAUGGAUUUCUGUAUCGUAUUGCGAAAAGCUAUUUUACAUAGCAAAUGAUGAUAACUGAAUAUGCUAUAAAUAAUUUGUUUAUUAAUUACUUAAUUGAAUAGCUAUCGUUGUUGUACUAUUAAAUGCGUAUGUUAUAUCAAUUUUUUUUUCAAAUAUUUGGAUUAUCGAAAUACCACUGAUUUUAUACUCAGCGUACGGUUUGUUUUUUGUGCGCAGGUUAUGUACUUAAGAAUUAAUCAUCGAUUUAGCAUCCAUCAACGAUCCCGAUCUCAAGCGUAGUGAUGUUUAUCCUUUUGUGUCGGCAUGUACCUAUGGUGUCUAAAUAAUAAUUAUUUUG
rnacentral:lncRNA from 1 species